AGGCAUCAAUCGACCAUACGAUGUUAGUAGAUUGAGGGAAUGAUUUACUGUGGAAUAAUUUUGGAAAUUUGGAUAUGGACAAGGAUGCAAAUUUAUGUAAGCGUCUGCGACAGUCACUCUAUUUAACAUAUAUAAAUAUGAAUAUGAAUAUGAAUAUGAUUCAAGGACAGUCACUCUAUUUAACAUAUAUAAAUAUAUAAUGCAUAUAUUAAUGAUACAAUACGGAUAGAUAUUCGCUCUUGCCUUAAGCCAGUAUAAAUUUUCUCUUACCACUAG
rnacentral:lncRNA from 1 species